GUGCUUAACACAUGCAAGUCGCGUGCGCAGUUUCCGUAGCAAUACGGGGAUGGGCGCACGGCGCACGGGUGCGUAACACGUGGGCAAUCUGCCCUCCGAUGGGGAAUACCCCCGCGAAAGCGGGACUAAUUCCGCAUAACAUUCCUUGGAUUAACUUUCGAGGAUUCAAAGCAGCAAUGCGUCGGAGGAGGAGCCCGCGCCCGAUUAGCUAGUUGGUGAGGUAACGGCUCACCAAGGCAAUGAUCGGUAGCUGGUCUGAGAGGAUGGCCAGCCACACUGGAACUGAGACACUGUCCAG
rnacentral:rRNA from 1 species